rnacentral:rRNA from 1 species
UACGGGAGGCAGCAGUGGGGAAUAUUGCACAAUGGGCGCAAGCCUGAUGCAGCCAUGCCGCGUGUAUGAAGAAGGCCUUCGGGUUGUAAAGUACUUUCAGUCGUGAGGAAGGUGUUAAGGUUAAUAACCUUAGCAAUUGACGUUAGCGACAGAAGAAGCACCGGCUAACUCCGUGCCAGCAGCCGCGGUAAUACGGAGGGUGCGAGCGUUAAUCGGAAUUACUGGGCGUAAAGGGCACGCAGGCGGUUAAUUAAGUUGGAUGUGAAAUCCCCGGGCUUAACCUGGGAAUGGCAUUCAAGACUGGUUAGCUAGAGUCUUGUAGAGGGGGUAGAAUUCCAUGUGUAGCGGUGAAAUGCGUAGAGAUGUGGAGGAAUACCGGUGGCGAAGGCGGCCCCUGGGACAAAGGACUGACGCUCAUGUGCGAAAGCGUGGGGAGCGAAACAGGAUUAGAUACCCGGU